rnacentral:rRNA from 1 species
AAUGGCCGCGGUACUCUGACCGUGCUAAGGUAGCGAAAUCAAUUGGCUUUUAAAUGGAGUCAGGUAUGAAUGGAAUCGUAGUUUAACUGUCUCUUAAUUAAUUAUUCGAAAUUACUAUGUAGAUGAAAAAGUCUAUAAGAAAAAAGACGAGAAGACCCUUAGAGUUUUUCUAAAAAAUAACAGUUUUUUGAAGUUUGGUUGGGGCAACUUAGGAAAAUAACUUCCUGUAUUUAUACUAGCCGUUUUUUUGAAGUUUGUAUAAACUACCUUAGGGAUAACAGCAUUAUGUAAUAAAUAAGUUUGUGACCUCGAUGUUGGACUGGGAAACUAAAAGGCU